ACCGGCUUCGGCCGGGAGUAGAGUGGCGAACGGGCGAGGAAUGCGUUUCUAACGUGCCCCAAGGUCGAGGAUAGCUCGGGGAAACCCGGGGUAAUACUCGAUGACCCCCAUGGAUCGCAUGGUUCGUGGGGCAAAGGCUUGCUGCCUUGGGAUCGGGAAACGCCCUAUCAGGUUGUUGGUGAGGUAACGGCUCACCAAGCCUAAGACGGGUAGCGGGUGUGAGAGCAUGACCCGCCGCAUCGGGACUGAGACACUGCCCGGACUCCUACGGGAGGCUGCAGCAACGGAUAUUGGGCAAUGAGCGAAAGCUUGACCCAGCAAUGCCGCGUGCAGGAGGAAGCCCCUCGGGGUGUAAACUGCUGUCAGGGUUUAGGAAGUUCUGACCAAACCCAAAGGAAGGGCCGGCUAACUUCGUGCCAGCAGCCGCGGUAAUACGAAGGGCCCAAGCGUUAAUCGGAAUCACUGGGCUUAAAGGGUGCGCAGGCGGAAUGGUCAGUGUCUUGUGAAAUCCCACGGCUCAACCGUGGAACUGCAGGGCAUACUGCCAUUCUUGAGGCCGGUAGAGGCCGCCGGAACUCUAGGUGUAGCGGUGAAAUGCGUAGAUAUCUAGAGGAACGCCAAAGACGAAGGUAGGCGGCUGGGCCGGUUCUGACGCUCAGGCACGAAAGCGUGGGGGAGCAAACAGGAUUAGAUACCCUGGUAGUCCACGCCGUAAACGUUGUGCACUAGGUGCUGGAGGUUCUGACACCAUCAGCGCCGAAGCGAAAGUGAUUAGUGCACCGCCUGGGGAGUACGGUCGCAAGGCUAAAACUCAAAGGAAUUGACGGGGGCUCACACAAGCGGUGGAGCAUGUGGCUUAAUUCGAGGCAACGCGAAGAACCUUAUCCUGGGCUUGACAUGCAUGGAUUAACGCUGGGAAACCAGCGCCACACUCUUUGAGUGGAACAUGCACAGGUGCUGCAUGGCUGUCGUCAGCUCGUGCUGUGAAGUGUUGGGUUAAGUCCCUUAACGAGCGAAACCCCUGUCGCUAGUUACCAUCAGGUAAUGCUGGGGACUCUAGCGAGACUGCCGGUGUCAAACCGGAGGAAGGCGGGGAUGACGUCAAGUCCUCAUGGCCUUUAUGCCCAGGGCUGCACACGUGCUACAAUGGCGCCGACAGAGCGAAGCAAAACCGCGAGGUAGAGCAAAUCGCAAAAAAGGUGCCCCAGUUCGGAUUGCAGUCUGCAACUCGACUGCAUGAAGCCGGAAUCGCUAGUAAUCGCGUAUCAGCAACGACGCGGUGAAUACGUUCCUGAGCCUUGUACACACCGCCCGUCAAGUCAUGGAAGCCGGGAGUACCCGAAG
rnacentral:rRNA from 1 species